AGUGAACGCUGGCGGUAGGCCUAACACAUGCAAGUCGAACGGCAGCACAGGAGAGCUUGCUCUCUGGGUGGCGAGUGGCGGACGGGUGAGGAAUACAUCGGAAUCUACUCUGUCGUGGGGGAUAACGUAGGGAAACUUACGCUAAUACCGCAUACGACCUACGGGUGAAAGCAGGGGACCUUCGGGCCUUGCGCGAUUGAAUGAGCCGAUGUCGGAUUAGCUAGUUGGCGGGGUAAAGGCCCACCAAGGCGACGAUCCGUAGCUGGUCUGAGAGGAUGAUCAGCCACACUGGAACUGGGACACGGUCCAGACUCCUACGGGAGGCAGCAGUGGGGAAUAUUGGACAAUGGGCGCAAGCCUGAUCCAGCCAUACCGCGUGGGUGGAGAAGGCCUUCGGGUUGUAAAGCCCUUUUGUUGGGAAAGAAAUCCAGCUGGCUAAUACCCGGUUGGGAUGACGGUACCCAAAGAAUAAGCACCGGCUAACUUCGUGCCAGCAGCCGCGGUAA
rnacentral:rRNA from 1 species